GGGGGUUUAGCUCAGUGGUAGAGUGUGUGCUUAGCAUGCUGGAAGUCCUGGGUUCAAUCCCUAGCACCUCCC
rnacentral:tRNA from 1 species